rnacentral:lncRNA from 1 species
CGUAACGCGCGGCUAAUUGUGUCAACGGCCUCAUUAGCAUGCGGCGCGCGCUGCGGGCCGGCCGUGCCGCCGCAUGCCGCGCCGCGCUAACGGAAUCGAAAGUGAUUCCUGAAGGUCGCCCCGGCGUGUUUACCAACAAGGCCGGCAGGACGCGCUCGCCACUAGUUCUCCUUGACAUUGGACGGCGUUCACUAAACCCCGAUGGCCUAAUACAUACGUAUAGCUUCCGCCCGUCGUUCAUCUUACUAACUCUCGGGCCCGGCGGACGAGCCACUCAAUAUCUUUGCAAAGUUUUCCUUCAAAAUAUACAUAUAAAGCUAGUGCCAAAAUUCGAACUAUAACAGCACACUAGUCCAGGACUGGCGAACCAAUGACAAAAUGUUACUCGCAGUUUCAAUCGGAUCAAGGAGGGAAAGAUAAAACAAUAACAAUACUACAGAACAGAAGGUUAACGGAAAAGAGGCAGACAACCCAAUAGACGGGCCGACGACGGCAUGACGCAGGUGCCAGGUAUAACAAGGAGUACAGAGCCGUAGCCAGAGAGAUCCGAAUGGAAUAGGUUAGAGGAGGUCUUUGCAAACUAGCAAACGGACACACAAAGAGUGAAGAAACACCAAGUACGGGAAAUCUCUUUGCGUUAGAUUUAAGUGAUACAAGAGAAUUCUUAAGUAAUAAAUAUGUAUCACUUAAAUCCAAAAAAUAAAUGAAUAAAUGUGUUAUGAAACGCAAGAUCAGAGUAGAGGUGUUGUGUUAGUACUGACCAUGCGGUCGCGCUCGUCCUCGAUGGUGCGGAUGAGCGUGGCGAAGUGGUGCAGCGAGCGGCUGAUGACGCGCUCGUCCUCCGUCAUGGACGCGCCGAUGCACGCGAACUCGAACUGCUCCAUGCUGGUGGCCAGCGCCUGCUGCGCCGCGCCCAGCCCUGCAACGCCACACAAUACUCGCGACAACAUUCAUACAUACGUCACCUACAUAACAACACUCAACAGAAUUUACUUUAUAAUAUUACUAGCUUCCGCCAGUUGUAACCCGCGACCUGUGGGAACUACUUCGCUCAUCCGGAUAAAAAGUAGCCUGUAGCCUUAUUCGAUCAUUAUGGAUUACGACUUACAAAAUAAUUAAUGUUCCUAUAAGAAUAAAAUUAUACAUAGACAGGAUUAGCUGUUUCAAGCGGUCCGGGUAAUGAAAACUCUCUACCCAACUAGGUAUUUCCUACCAAUUUAAAAACUCUUACAGAGCAUUUGUUUACCAGUUGCAGGCUAAGUAUGUAAGCUUGUAAGUAGUAGGUGUAGAUGUACCUAGAUGUAAGGCAUCCACAGCCACCUGCCUUGCAGCCAACUAAUCAAAUCAAGUAGAUGGUCGAGGGGCGACUGCGUGAGUGGUCACGUCACGUGUGCUGCGCUCAGCGCGACAUGGCGCCGCGGAGGUCUACUACCUUUUAACCUAUACCUACACGUAAGCUAUAGAUUUUACAGUCAUCAAUUUAUUGUCAUUAAGUGUAGACGAUUUUCGACAUGGUUUUAUUUAUUAUUAUAUUAAUUACGUGGCUAUCGUACACAGCCGGGCGAGUUGCGGAGUGCGCGCGUGCCUGUUCAAGGACGAGAUUAAGAAACGUGCAGAUAAUGAGUGUAUGUAGUGAACUAUCGCGAUGUGGCGAUAGCGUUUCGAGCAAGUUUAGCAAGGUACGCGCGAGACAAUCAGUUAGCGAGGUUAUCAAGCGCGUCGCACGGAGCGCGCCUGACUCACGCGCCCAGCCCCGCCGCCACGCCACCGCUAUAGCCUGCUCAGUUCCGACACUGAUAUACAUAUAUUACAUACCUCCCUUUAACCAGAAAAAAUCAAAGGAAUUACAUAACAAACUUCCAAAUAGUCGCAAAAAUACCAAAAAAAAAUAUCUGGUGGGAGCUAUGAUCCUUGGCAGUUGUUACGGGUAGUCAGAAGCCAGUAAGUCUGAUACCAGUUUAACCAAGUGGUAUUGGGGUGCCUGGGUUGAGGGGGUCAGAUAGGGCAGUCGCUACUUGUAAAGCACACACAGCUACAUCCAGUUAGACCGGAAGCCAACCUCAAAACAUAGUUGGGAAAAAGGCUCAGAGGAUGGAUAAUGGUAGGUGCUAUGAGAAAUCAGAAUCCAGAGGGUCUGUCAACUAGUCUUACCAAGAGGUUUAUAAUAAAAAAAAAACCUUUUUUU